UACAGAGGGGGCAAGCGUUGUUCGGAAUUACUGGGCGUAAAGGGCGCGUAGGCGGCUUGGUCAGUCCCGUGUGAAAUCCCUCGGCUCAACUGAGGAACUGCACGGGAAACUGCCUGGCUUGAGUUCGGGAGAGGGAAGCGGAAUUCCGGGUGUAGCGGUGAAAUGCUUAGAUAUCGUCAAGAACACCUAUUGCGAAGGCAGCUAACUAAGCUUUAACUGACGCUGAGGCACGAAAGUGUGGGGAUCAAACAGG
rnacentral:rRNA from 1 species